CCUACGGGAGGCAGCAGUGGGGAAUUUUGAACAAUGGGCGAAAGCCUGAUCCAGCAAUGCCGCGUGUGUGAAGAAGGCCUUCGGGUUGUAAAGCACUUUUGUCCGGAAAAAAAUGGCUGGUGGUUAAUACCUGGGGUCGAUGCCGGUACCGGAAGAAUAAGGACCGGCUAAAAACGUGCCAGCAGCCGCGGUAAU
rnacentral:rRNA from 1 species